AAGAAUGUAGUUUAAAUUAAAAAUAUUAGAUUGUAAAUCUAAAGUUGGUUAUUCUUG
rnacentral:tRNA from 1 species